AUUGAACGCUGGCGGCAUGCUUUACACAUGCAAGUCGAACGGUAACAGGUUAAGCUGACGAGUGGCGAACGGGUGAGUAAUGUAUCGGAACGUGCCCAGUCGUGGUGGAUAACGUAGCGAAAGCUACGCUAAUACCGCAUACGAUCUGUGGAUGAAAGCGGGGGACCGUAAGGCCUCGCGCGAUUGGAGCGGCCGAUAUCCGAUUAGGUAGGUGGUGCGGUAAAGGCCCACCAAGCCAACGAUCUGUAGCUGGUCUUAGAGGACGACCAGCCACACUGGGACUGAGACACGGCCCAGACUCCUACGGGAGGCAGCAGUGGGGAAUUUUGGACAAUGGGGGCAACCCUGAUCCAGCAAUGCCGCGUGCAGGAAGAAGGCCUUCGGGUUGUAAACUGCUUUUGUACGGAACGAAAAGGCUCUGGUUAAUACCUGGGGUUUAUGACGGUACCGUAAGAAUAAGCACCGGCUAACUACGUGCCAGCAGCCGCCGUAA
rnacentral:rRNA from 1 species